rnacentral:lncRNA from 1 species
UUGGUCCCUGCACAACCUUCCCCUGGCACAGAGCCAGCUUCCCUGGGGGGGUCUGCAUUUCCAGAGAGGAGAUCGCAAGCCUCCCUCACAUCCAUUCCAGGGUCACUCACUCCCUUGGGCACAGUGACGAUUCUUUAGUCAUUCCCAAAAAGGUACUUAGCUUGAAGACAGCCUCGUCCCCAUUUUCCAUGUAAGGAGAUGAGAAAGCCGCCUCCAUCCAGGCCCCUUUAAGCGAAACCUCCCUUUCCCUGUCCGUGGAGUUUAGGGGACCAAAUUCUCCAAGAACAACCUCUGCAGCGGGAACAUGAGGAUGGCCUCCUGCAUCCAGGGCUCCUCUUCUUGCCCUGUUUACCACCAGGGCUAGUCCCCAUCCCUACCAGCCAUGCCACUAGAGAUGACCCAAACUCUCUAAGCCUCCACUGCCUCGCCUGAGCUUGUGCCUUGGGAGAUAAUUCGCCAACCCACGGUGUCCAUGUGUGGCCCUGGGGCUGAAAUUUCCAGAUAGAAGGUGGUCAGCCUGACAGCCACCCUGGGGACCAGGGACCAGGACAAUUGGCUUCAACAUUGGUGUUUGUAUUACUUCA